GAUUGGAAUGUGAUUAUAAGAUUACCAUGCCCCAACUUUCCGCAGCUCCAUGUGGCUGCUGUUGCAUGUUGAAUGCUGGUGAUGGCAGCUCCACAAAGUGCAGCCCCGCCCCGAUUACGUCCAUAGUCUAGGGGCUGUACGCACGUACAAACUGGGGGGCACUAUCAUUAUUACAGCGUGUAAUCAGCGGGGGAUGACGAGGCGGAGCGAUGAGAUGGAGAGUGUGAGGCAAUUUUGGAGACUAAUAAUUUAAACUUGUCAAGCCAAAAUCAAAUUGUGAACACUGCCAAAAACUUAUUGUUCUAGUGCAGAAACUAAAAAUGUUACCAAAUAUGAAAUAAACACUCUUAUAUUAAAACUAAAAUUUGCGACUUUC